rnacentral:ncRNA from 1 species
CUUUAACACUUGUUUUCGGGUUCUCUGCGUAAAGCGGGGAUUAAAAAGGAACCGUGUGAGAAUCACGGGCUGUCGCGCAACUGUAUGUUGUAGUGGGGUAUAACCUCACAGCGCUGCAUAAUUAGCCACUGUAUCAGGCCUCAAUGGUAUGGGAAGGCAUGUAGCAAAACAACAAGCCAGGAUACUUGCCUGAAAACGGAGACCAAU